GGGGCUGCUUAGCUUCGACAGAUUGCACCUUAAAAAAUACGCAAGUCGACCAUUCAUAAUACAAGUCGAAAAAAUGUUUAUGAAAGAUAUCUAAGUGCAAACUUUAUAUCAAAAGUAAAGGCAACUUUCGCAAGAAACUUCGCUUUUGCUUCAGCUAUUGCCUAAUACAGGCCGGUAGCCAUCAAGCUGUUGAUUCUCAAUAAACAGAUCUUGGUGCCAACCAUUGAGAUAGUCGGACACAAUUAUUCUUGAUUGUUUCCGAUAAAAUAUUCCAAGAACGUAUUAUUGAUGUUUUGUCUGUUUUUCAGUCAAUAAUCCGUACUAAAUAAACAAACUAAACUUGUAGAAUAUUUUUUAAUUUCAAUUUGGACAUGGGUUCAAUUCCCAUCAGCUCCACGU
rnacentral:tmRNA from 2 species